AGCUGGAUUUUCAUAUCUGCUUCUGAAUUCAAUCUUUUGAGAUAUCGCAUGCCAUGUAACUACUGGAAAACUCGACACUCAUGAGAGAAUGAGGUUUCUUAAGCCUUCCUGAUUAACUAUUUGUAUGUGUGGACAACAGCGAUCAAGCACCCAGGAGAAGAAAUAUUCUCAAAGUUAAAGAAGUUUUUUCUCUAGUCUUGGUGAACCAUGGCACUACCUCCGACCACCAGCAAUCAUAUCUCCUUGAAGCCUGAAGAGACUCCAUGCCCAGCGUGGAACGCAACAUCAGACCUGAACUCAUCGGGCUUGACUCUGAGAUCAAGACCUGAGCUGAGAUCAAGAGUCAGGCAUUUAACUGACUGAGCUACCCAGGGGCUCCAAUUCAUUUCUUAUUUCUAGAAAAAAAGAAAGGAAAGAAAGAAAGGAAAGAAAAGGAAGGGGAGAGAGAGAGAAAGAAAGAAGAAAGAAAAGAAUAGAGAAAAAGUCCAAAGCUCCUGGAUCGAAAGUAAUAUUCUGAUUUGCUCAUGUGUGGUUGAGGAUGGAGCAGAGUUGAAAUUCACAUUACUGAAAUUUUAAUUAUAGUCAGUUCUAGUGAUUUAUUUUUAUGAUGAGCCAUGUGAUCCAUAAACAGCUUUUAAGCCCAUCUAUUUAGCCACAGUUCAAGUUAGAAGGUUGCCUGGGUAGAGUAGGGUCAUAGGAUGAGCCUCCAGAGAGCAAGCAGGAGGCUGGUAGAGGGAUGAACAUCAAAAAAUCUCCUACAGGGAGACAGUGCACCAGCUGGAAAAACAUGACACCAGAUGCAAUAAUAAUCAUGAAGACAUCUAGGCCCCACAGCAGCCAGAGGUUCUAUCAAAGGGACAGGAAGAUGUUUGAGUGAAUGAAUCACUUUGUAUACUAGUUCUGGGUGGUACUUUUAAGAGGUCAGGGAAAUCAGCCUUCAGUGGCUACCCAUUAACCUGCCCUUUUGCUACUUAGCUACAAAUACGUUUGUAGUCGGCUCCAUCCCAAGUUCUAAUCAUGAUUUUCUGAAGAGGACUCCAUUAUCAAGGGUGUUUGUUUAUUAUAAACAAUCUGUGGAUCUUCCAGCAGAUCUUAAAAUGUCAGGAAAAAAAUUUCAGAAACCCAGAAUUCCACAUAUGAAUACAUAAAACUACCAUAAUGUUGUGUGAAAAUUCCAUGUUAGCUUACAGGAAUUCAUAAAAUAUAGGUCAAAAACCAGUUACACAACUUGCUUAGAAUAAAAAUAUAUUUCAGCUAAGGCACAUUUUCCUUAGAACCAAUCCAUAAGAACAACAGGUAAGUUUCUGCUUCCUAGCUUUGAAAGAUUAUUAAAAUUACCUUAUCUAUGGAAAAAUGUGAUGUUUUGGGUUUUUACCCAAAUAAUCUAGUGCAGGUGAUCCAGGAAGGCAGCAAGCAGAUUAGAGAAUAGUCCAAACAAAAUUAGCCAUCUUAAAGCUGGGUGGUGGCUACCUGAGGAUUCACAUACUCUUUCGUUUUAUAUAUGUUUAAAAUUUUCUGUAAUAAGAAGCUUAAUAAUUACAUUUUAAAUGUUAGCUCCGUCUUUUUUAUUACUACUUCAAAAACAAUCAAUACAGAUUCUAAAGUUUCUAGAAAGUGUUGUAAAGUGUAAAGAAGGAGAAAAAAAUCUCAGCAUACAUAAUGACCUUUCCCAACACUCAGAUAUCAAAUAUGCUAAUAGUGUGUUACUUCAUAAAUGUAAAUUGAUCAGUGGUUCUAGUAGCCCCAAGUAGUUUUUAACUUUCAUGCCAUGAUUUCUCUUGAAUGAAACUGCUCUUACCCCAUGUUUGUGAAAGUGAGAGAUGAUAAAAACAGCUAUAAAAUACAUUGUGCUGCUUAUCCACUCAGAAGACAUAAUUGCAAGGUCAGGUCCAAUGGUGAACCAACAUGAGUAAAUAGACACCAGAGAGAAAUGUUUUUGUCCUUCACGAUUUGAAUGAACUCUGUCAGGGAAUAAGACAUCAUCAGGUCAAUUACUGUCUGCAGUAGCUUUGCAAAGCACCCUGAAAAAACACUGAUGAGAAAUUAAUUGCCACCUGCAAAAACAGUAAGAGAGGUCAUUUCUUCAACCUAACAUAAAGCCAGUAUUUCCCAGUUCAGCACACAUCAGUACAUAAUCCAGUACACUUAGUAUACUGGUUAUCGAUUGCUAAAAUUUAGCAGCUUAAAACAAUAAACACUUAUGAUCUCAUAUAGUGUCUAAGAGUCAGGAACCCAGGAGUGGCUCAUGCAGGUUGUUCCAGCCCACAGUCUCUUAGGAUGUUGCAGUCAAGCUGUUGGCCAGAGUUGCAGUCAUCUCAAGGCUCAACUAGAGUCAAAGAGUCCAUUUCCAAGUUCACUUCACAAGAUUGUUAGCCAGCCUCCAUUACAAGCCUCUCUUGUGGUAGGCUUCCUUGAUGCUAUCAUGACAUGGCAGCUGGUUUCCCACAGAGUAAGUGUUGAGACAGAGAGUGAGAGAAAGAGAAAGAAGAGAUCAAGCAGCUAAGAGAGCACAUAAGAUAGAGGCCACAGUCAUUUAUAAUUUAGUCUUGGAAAUAACAUACCAUCAUUUAUGUCUUUUUCUGUUGGUCAGACAGACCAACCCUAGUACAUCAUGGAAGGGGAGACACAGGAUGUGAAUAGCAGCAGGCAGGGAUUAUUGGGGACCAUUUUGGAGGCUAGCUACUACAUGUAGGAUAGAACAAGAGCAGUAACUCUCAAAUAUUAGAGAUAGGAUAUACGAAGGUAGAUUUGCAAGGGUUGUCUUUGAGUGAGGUAUAGUUGGGCCCUAAUCUAUCUAGGAUGGUUUUGUUAACUAAAGAGGAUGCCAAACAGUAACUUUCAGUCAUGUAAAACUUAUUUUAAAAGUGCAAAUACUUACUGCUAUAAAUCUCUGUGUAUAAAAGCAGAGAACACUUAUCAAGCACCCAAGCCAAGGGAUGCCAAGCUUAUCUACAUUCAGAGCUAAAUAGACAGUAGUGGUAAUUGCUGCUAAAUUCUGUUUUAUCCCCGCCCUUCCCAAAUGGGAUCAUGCGUGCUCCUCUGUCAAAAACUGCCUCCUGGUUUCUAGUCCCAUUCCUAGUGGACUUCGGUCUGACUUGGCACAAAUGCUCCAGCCUGGUUUUUUUGUUGAUUUGUAAUCUUAGCCACCCCAACCAAAGAAUCAUGGUAGAAAAGAAAGAAAAUACAGCAAAUGGUUUUUACUGUCCACAACCUUAAAAUUUCAACAAAGGAAGUAAAUAAUCUUCCAUACCCAUAGAGGCCUUGAAGAAAACAUUGGAAAAUUUAUAAACUGACAGCCCCUAGCUAUUCCUAGGCCUCAGUUUAUACACACCAAAUUAAAAGUUAUGCUUCAGUCUCUUCCUCUGUAUUCAUCUCUAAAUCCAACACACAGUGUUGAUUUCUAGCACUAGUGGUUUUGAAAAGCAUUUCAGGGUUUCCUACCAUACUUUCAGAAUGCAAGUCCUCAUUGCAAAUAACCCAAUAACUUCAUAGUAAUUGAUAUGGGUAUAUCACUGAAGUGUAGACAAAUUCCAGUCCACCUAGAGAAGCCUAUUUUUUUAAAUUAUGAUGUCGAUGAGAUUAUAAUGAAGUAUGUGAUGUAUUGGCAAGUAGGUAUUAUCUCAUCAAAAAUAAAAACUAAUAACAUACUCAAAAGUAGGUCUAAAAUUGAUAAACAGGGGUGCCUGGGUGGCUCAGUCUGUUAAGCAUCUGCCUUUGGCUCAGAUCCUGAUCCCAGAGUCCUGCG